UACAGAGGUCUCAAGCGUUGUUCGGAUUCAUUGGCGUAAAGGGUGCGUAGGUGGCGCCGUAAGUCAGGUGUGAAAUCUCGGGGCUCAACCCCGAAACUGCACUUGAUACUGCGGUGCUCGAGUACUGGAGAGGAGAUUGGAAUUUACGGUGUAGCAGUGAAAUGCGUAGAUAUCGUAAGGAAGACCAGUGGCGAAGGCGAAUCUCUGGACAGUUACUGACACUGAGGCACGAAGGCCAGGGGAGCAAACCGGG
rnacentral:rRNA from 1 species